UUUAGUUGAUCAUAACUAGAGAUGAAAUGGCAUGAACAUUUCAUUUCAUGAUUAUUAUGAAAUCAAUUUGCUAAAUGUCGAAACCCAGCAAAUAAAUAAAAUUAGCAUCAAUAUGCACUUUUUGUUUACAUAAACAUUAAAAUACCAUUAAAAUGAUGGCCAGAUUUUAAAGGAGUAUCUUGCAA